UACGUAGGGGGCAAGCGUUGUCCGGAAUCAUUGGGCGUAAAGAGCGUGUAGGCGGUCCGGUCAGUCGGUUGUGAAAGUCAAGGGCUCAACCCUUGAAUGCCGGCCGAUACUGCCGGGCUAGAGUCCGGAAGAGGUGAGUGGAAUUCCUGGUGUAGCGGUGAAAUGCGCAGAUAUCAGGAAGAACACCCGUGGCGAAGGCGGUUCUCUGGGACGGUACUGACGCUGAGACGCGAAAGCGUGGGGAGCGAACAGG
rnacentral:rRNA from 1 species